GAAGACUACUCCCUUCUUAGAGUU
rnacentral:tRNA from 8 species